GACGAACGCUGGCGGCGCGCUUAACACAUGCAAGUCGAACGGAAAGGCCUGCUUUCCCUUGUGGAUUGCGGGUACUCGAGUGGCGAACGGGUGAGUAACACGUGAGUGAUCUGCCCCCAACUUGGGUAUAAGCCUGGGAAACUGGGUCUAAUUCCCGAUAGGACUGCAGGGUGGUGCCUGUGGUGGAAAACGAUUUUCUAGUGGUUGGGGAUGAGCUCUCGGCCUAUCAGCUUGUUGGUGGGGUAAUGGCCUACCAAGGCGGCGACGGGUAGCCGGCCUGGGAGGGUGGACGGCCACAUUGGGACUGGGAUACGGCCCCGACGCCUACGGGAGGCCGCAGUGGGGAGUAUUACGCAAUGGGCGGAAGCCUGAUGCAGCGACGCCGCGUGGGGGAUGACGGCCUUCGGGCUGUAAACUCCUUUCGACCGAGAGGAAGCCACCUGGUUGGAAGGGUGGUGACGGUAGUGGUAGAAGAAGCACCGGCUAACUACGUG
rnacentral:rRNA from 1 species